GAUCAAACAUCAGUGGCACGAGUGUUCACCGGUGUUGUUCCGCUCGCGCGACAGGCGGGAAUUCAAAAUAACGGAUCGCAACAACCUCUCGACUGUCCCAUUGGAUAAUUUUCAGUAUUUUCCAGUUGAGCAGCAAAAAAAAUGGAAACCCAAGGCCAACAGACCCAGCCCACCCUGAUGCUCAUCCUUGCACUGCCUGGG